rnacentral:ncRNA from 32 species
GGUAAGGUGGCCGCCGAUGGUUCCAGCCCGUGUGAUGCGACUGGAUGAAAAGGGAACAUGGAAAGCACCACAACCGGUGCCGAAGCCAUGGCUGCCCCCGCAACUGUAAACGGCGAGCGACGCCCAGAUGCCACUGACCGCACGGUUGGGAAGGCGGGUGGAGUAUCAAGCCGUGAGCCAGGAGACCUGCCAUCGAAGUCGGGCGCUUA